rnacentral:tRNA from 1 species
ACCCGGGUGGCUCAGUAGGUUAAGUGUCUGACUUCAGCUCAGGUCAUGAUCUCAGGGUCCUGGGAUCGAGCCCCACCUCGGGCU